GACGAACGCUGGCGGCGUGCUUAACACAUGCAAGUCGAACGGUAAGGCCCUUCGGGGUACACGAGUGGCGAACGGGUGAGUAACACGUGGGUGAUCUUCCGUGCACUUCGGGAUAAGCCUGGGAAACUGGGUCUAAUACCGGAUAGGACCACUGCCUGCAUGGGUGGUGGCUGAAAGCUUUUGCGGUGGUGGAUGGGGCCGAGGCCUAUCAGCCUGUUGGUGGGGAGGUGGCCUAGCAAGGCGACGAACGGUAGACGGCCUGAGAGGGAGACCGCCGGCCCUGGGGCCUUGAUACCGUGGAGACUCUUACGGAGUGCGGCACUGGGGUAUAUUGCUCAAUGGGCGCGAGCCAGAAACGGCGACGCCGCGUGUGGGAGUACGGCCUUCUGGUUGUAAACCUCUUUCAGUUCCGGCGAAGCGCAAGUGACGGUAGGUGCAGAAGAAGGACCGGCUAACUACGUGCCAGCCGCCGCCGUAA
rnacentral:rRNA from 1 species